rnacentral:rRNA from 1 species
GAUGAACGCUGGCGGCGUGCCUAAUACAUGCAAGUCGAGCGAACAGACGAGGAGCUUGCUCCUCUGACGUUAGCGGCGGACGGGUGAGUAACACGUGGAUAACCUACCUAUAAGACUGGGAUAACUUCGGGAAACCGGAGCUAAUACCGGAUAAUAUAUUGAACCGCAUGGUUCAAUAGUGAAAGACGGUUUUGCUGUCACUUAUAGAUGGAUCCGCGCCGCAUUAGCUAGUUGUUAAGGUAACGGCUUACCAAGGCAACGAUGCGUAGCCGACCUGAGAGGGUGAUCGGCCACACUGGAACUGAGACACGGUCCAGACUCCUACGGGAGGCAGCAGUAGGGAAUCUUCCGCAAUGGGCGAAAGCCUGACGGAGCAACGCCGCGUGAGUGAUGAAGGUCUUCGGAUCGUAAAACUCUGUUAUUAGGGAAGAACGAAUGUGUAAGUAACUAUGCACGUCUUGACGGUACUUAAUCAGAAAGCCACGGCUAACUACGUG